GGUAGUAAAGACACCAGAUUCACACGAGGAUGAAGUUGGAACCGUCUAACAUUAUGGAGGAUGAAGAUGCAGCACUGGUGGCGCUGCGGGGAGGAGGCUCAACCAGGGCGAGUUAGUACGAAGAGGCAUUCCUGUGUUCACGCUUUUGCGCAGCUACUUUGUGAGAUUUGUCAGACGCUGCGAAGAGGAACGUUGGCGCUCAACACCCCCAGAAGAAUGCUACCUAUUCUUAUCUAUUCAUAACUGAGAAGCAACAUGGAGGCGCCUGGUCAAGGUUGAGGAAACGCAGCCACCCCCCCCCUGCACUCACGCACCAGGACAAAACAAAAGAUUCAGGAGAGGUCAAUAUUGAGCCUCCGUCCGGUGACACGAGGAGCUUCCUGAUCAACCGUCGCCUGAAC
ensembl:lncRNA